rnacentral:rRNA from 3 species
AGUGGACGCAUCACUGGUGUUCGGGUUGUCAUGCCAAUGGCACUGCCCGGUAGCUAAAUGCGGAAGAGAUAAGUGCUGAAAGCAUCUAAGCACGAAACUUGCCCCGAGAUGAGUUCUCCCUGAGACUUUAAGUCUCCUGAAGGAACGUUAAAGACGAUGACGUUGAUAGGCCGGGUGUGUAAGCGCAGCGAUGCGUUGAGCUAACCGGUACUAAUGAACCGUGAGGCUUAACCUU